AUUGAACGCUGGCGGCGUGCUUAACACAUGCAAGUCGAACGAGAACGGAUUAUAGCUUGCUAUAAUUGUCAGCUAAGUGGCGCACGGGUGAGUAAUGUAUAGGUAAUAUGCCUCUUACUAAGGGAUAACAAAUGGAAACGUUUGCUAAUACCUUAUACUCCUUAUUAACCUAAGUUAAUAAGGGAAAGAUUUAUUGGUAAGAGAUUAGCCUGUAUUGUAUCAGUUAGUUGGUGGGGUAAUGGCUUACCAAGACUAUGACACAUAACUGGUUUGAGAGGAUGAUCAGUCACACUGGAACUGAGACACGGUCCAGACUCCUACGGGAGGCAGCAGUGGGGAAUAUUGCACAAUGGACGAAAGUCUGAUGCAGCAACGCCGCGUGGAGGAUGACACAUUUCGGUGCGUAAACUCCUUUUAUAUGAGAAGAUAAUGACGGUAUUAUAUGAAUAAGCACCGGCUAACUCCGUGCCAGCAGCAGCCGCAG
rnacentral:rRNA from 1 species